AACCUCCCGCCCUUUCCAUCCCCAGAAAUUUCCCGGGAAGGGUUGGUUCCUUCAGGGAAUUUGACACAGGUGCUGCAUGGCGGUUGUCAGCUGGUGUCGUGAGAUGUUGGGUUAAGUCCCGCAACGAGCGCAACCCUUUUCCUUUGUUACCAGCACGUUAGGUUGGGCACUUUAAGGAGACUGCCGGUGACAAACCGGAGGAAGGUGGGGAUGACGUCAAGUCAUCAUGGCCCUUAUGGCCAGGGCUACACACGUGUUACAAUGGCCGGUACAAAGGGUUGCCAACCCGCGAGGGGGAGCUAAUCCCAAAAAACCGGUCUUAGUCCGGAUGCAGUCUGCAACUCGACUGCAUGAAGUCGGAAUCGCUAGUA
rnacentral:rRNA from 1 species